CACACUGACCCUGCCCGUGGCACAGACCUGCAGUGCUGCUCAGGCAGGGCUGUCCUGGGGCACGGGAGCUUCUCCUGCACACAGACAAGGCCAAGGCAGUGCUCUCAGCUGCUGCUGGCAGCUUCUCCUCUUUCCUCAGACUCCUGCUCUGAUGCUGCUUGGUGGUCCCAGGAACCCCCAUUUCAGCUCUGUGUUCUCCUGUCCUGUGAGAGUCCUUGAUGCCGGGUAUCCCUCCCCUCAGAGACACUUUCCAAUUGUUUCACAGACCUACUGGGUCCUACUUGUUUCCCAAGUAUGCUUCUUAUCUUCCUUUUUAGCUCCUGGCAACAUCUGCAAAUAGGGAAACUUUUGGCACUGUCAGCUAAUUGAAAUUUCUGUGGGACAAAGUAGCCCCUGCUGACACUUCAGUUUAACUGCUUUACUUUCUAUUGGCAACUUUUUGUUGUGUAGAUAUCCAGACUGUAAGAAAUUUACUGCUUUUAGAUGGAGCUUUAACUCAGAACUGCUUUAGGAGGGAACAAGUAAUGUUGAUUGAUGAUGCUGCUUAACACUUUUUUUGCGCUAAUGCUAACAAUUUCAAGUCAGAAAAUACUUUUCUACUGUAUUGCUCACACUUAGCAAAUCUCUUUCUCUCCCCCUUACUACAGAACUCAAUCAGAUACUUCAUAAAUGUGAUCCUUUCCCCUCUGUUCAUCCUCCUAUCAUGAAAUCCAGGCUUGUCCUUACUAACAGCUGCUUCAUGAAAUAUGAAAAAAUUACUUUGGAAAGCCUCUCUUCCCUUCCUUCCUCAACAGAAAGCCUUUUACAUUAUUGUUUAAAUAGAAGAACAGUUAUAUUUAUUAUUAGGAAAAAUAUUUUCCGUGCAGAACGCCAGGCCCUGCCACUGCCAAAAGAAGGACUAUUUGGUAUUUUGGAAGGAGUCUUGAGAGAAGGUAAGACUAUGGUUUAUGAUGAGGAAAACAAUCAAGUGUAUGAAACAUUCACUGCUGCAAAGGAGACCUUUGUGAUGUUGUUCAAGACUUUCUGGAUUGGGAUUGCCCCUGCCAGGCUGCAGUGGACCAUUGUGAUUGACCACUACAUUCUGUAAUUACUAGCAGGGAGAUUACUCCAGGAACACUAAAACAAAGUAUAACAAUGGCAGUAUUUUUAGCCAGGAAAGUUUGUAUUACAAUAAAGAACAACUAGAAUAGGUAACAACAGCAGCCACCUCACAAUAGCACGAGCUUGGUACGUUCCAGAUGAAUGAUCCUUCAGUGGCCUUAGCCCUGCCCUUCAGUCACUGGUAAACUGUGCUACCACAGCUGUGCUGCUGCCUUAAAUCACACUACCCAGAGGUGUGAGAACUGUGCUAAGGUUUUACUGGGACAGAUGUGGAAACUGAUUUACCACUGAUACUGAAGUGACCUGAAUAAAGGGCACACAGAGUGGCCAUAGAUAUCUAGGUGGAAAGGAGAAGUGACAGUAUAGAACCUCUGAAAUCUGUGAGUGUCUCAUCAAAAUCUGCUUUGGACCAGUUAAUGAAUGCUACAUAAUGAACAGAAGUAGGGCAACUGGAUGAGAACAAUGCACAGGUGGGUAAGAAGACUUCAUUUGGUGAGAAGAUAAUGAACAUGAGAACUUGUGGUUUGUCUAAAUACCACCCUUGCCUCCUCUUCAGAUAGCUCCUGCAUUGUUACUGCUCUUCCUCAGCCUGUCUUUCUACUUGUUAAGUGACAAGAGGAAGAUGGUUACAAAGGAAAGGGUUCCUCAGCAGAGAUUCAGCCAGAAGAGGGUCCUAUCUCUCUCUCUCUCAAUCAGACCCAUCCUAAACAUGUUUACUCUUAUGUGCUCUCCUGUACCUUGCCAAAAGAGGCUCAUUCUGCAGAAUCAUCCCUGCUUUGCAGUGCCUGGUUUUAUUAUCUCUCUGCAAGACUUGUCCCUUUCUUCCUUAAUAAAACUGUACCAAAUCUAACUUUUGGAGGAGAAGACAGGAUUGAUUCUUGAUACCUUGAUUUCUGAUGUUAGUACUGAGAGAAACAGCAGCUGAGCUGGCCCUGCCACUGCAGGGUUUGCCUGUACUGCACAGCUGCACUUUGCAGCCAAGUUUUACUGUGCAUCUCAGGAAUAGCAAUCUCUCCCACUGGAGUUCCAUGGCCCAUCCACACACCCAGGAAGGUGACACUGCUGUCCAGCUGAGGAGGAUCAAUGUAUAAUACAGAUAAUAUUUCCUGUGCCUGACAGCCUCUCCAGAGCUGCAGUUUGAGUCGCAGUGGGUCUGUGUUUUGAAGCCAGCCCUAGCUCAGGAUGGGACUGGUGUUCUGUGAAAUCAGCAGCAGAGGUAAAUGACUCAGGGACAGGAAUAUUGGAGAUGAACACAGAGCCAGGCAAUUUGUUCUUUCUGCUCUGGGUUUUGUUAACCUGACUGACAAGAACAGACAGGAAAUGGGGUCUGAAGGUCUCUGACUUGUUAAGCAAAGUAUUAAUUGCUUAGAAAUUGCAAAAUUUAGUUUAGUAAUGUGGUUUCUGAUAUUCCAAACAUGACUUGACCUUUUAAAAUGUCCCGUUUGAACUGGAACAAAAAUUAGUUGAGCUAGAAUUUAUCUGAGUGCGUCUUCCUGAGACUGUUUUUAAAAUUUCACCUAAACCUGUCAAAGGCAUGUUUAAUACUCAAAAUGGCAGAAGCCAUAGCCAGAACAGCUUCCAGCUAGAUAUGUGGUAGGAACAUUAUGCACACCAUUUGUUAAUACAGGCACGUACAGACCAGCAAUAAUUCCAGAAUCUCUGCCAGAAAGCUAAUGAGAACAUAGUUGGCCAUAAACUUUCCUCUGACUUGGGCAAGGGCAUAUCUAAUUCCAGUUGUCUCAUGUCCACUAGCUGCAAAAUGGAGGUAUCAAAGCACCAGUGCCAGAAUAAAUUAGGAUUUCUUGAGGGUUUGCAAUGAGAGACUGAGACAUGAUAAUGGAAGAAACCUGCCAUGGGCUGUAUUUGCAUAGGUGUGUGUAUGUUUUUCUUGAGCAAACAGGCUGGUUGUGGGUGCCAAAGAGCUCGCCACAUGUAUGAUGGGCUGAUGAGGAAACACUCUGUAUGUUCCAUUCAGAGCAUGUUUGAAGGGGGAAAACUGCAUGCAAGUAUUAUCUCCUCUGUAAUAGUCCAGGGAAAUGUGGAGAAAUGGUGUCACACCCACACCCUCAAAGCAGUAAACCUGUCAAAGGCUGCACUCCACAGUGCUCAUGGCCCUGUUCAUCCCAAACUAGAAGCCUUUUUUCCUUGCAUACCAUCCUUUAGAAUUGCAGUUAAUUUUAUGUCUCUAAGGAUUUAGGAAAAUCCUGGUGCUCUCCUGACAUGGGAUCUCUCAGGCCUUGUCCCAUGAAGAUAGGGAGCCAAAUCAAGAGCUGUUACUCAAGGACUCCCUGAAUGGGGAAGACUUUUUCUCCUGCUCUAACCCCCCUUCCCUCCCAUGCCCUCUGCUGAUAGAUGUUAAGAUAAACUUUAGAACCUUUGUUUCAUCUCCAACAAAUCUCCAUCAGCAUUCAGCACUGCCAGAUUCAGUGUUGCAGGGCACAGAAGUGCUUGGUGAAAAUCCAAGUGCAGUCCACAGUGAUAAUCAGCUAUUAAAGGCCUCCUCACAGUAAGCCUGCUCUCCUGUGGAGUGUGUUACCCAGGCUUCUCCAGCUCGGUGUGUCACAGCAUCUUUGACUGUUUUCUUCAUGUUCCAGCUGCAACCUUGCUGAUAAGUGAGCUGGAGGUGCUAUUUGUAUUCCAUGUGUAAGCAUGUUUGGAGCGUGCUUGACUAUUCCUACAGGAUACUGGCUUUUAGGGUCUGCAUGGACUUAGAUGGUUGGAGGCUAUAAGCCUUGGAUUUAUAGGAAUUGUUAUUGUGUUCUUAUCCUCCACUGGUAUUGGAUUUAUAUCCACAAAAGUCAUUCCCAGAAGGAAUGUAACUAGAUUUUUCUCCCAGAUUUUUAAUUUAAUUGGUGAUUGUUUACAUGAGAAUGCUUGCCAAAGUGAGAUGAUUUGGCAGUCCUCUGGAAUGUAAAGGUUAAGUAUAUUGAUUUCAUCUUUUCCCAAAGGAGCUGUUCUUUUUGUGCAAAAGCAUCACUGGUUUUGUUCUUGUGUCUGAAACUUUGUUUACAUGGGUUUAAUUGAAUUCUGGAAUACAGAUUGUUUGCACUCUUGGUUUGUUAAUAAAUCCUGACAUUCUCUGAGCAGUAAUUCUUCAGUGCUUUCAAUGCCAUAAAUACUGAAAAUAGGGAAAAAUCUGCCCUGCCAUUAUACACUCAGUUAAUAGGAGUUAUUUGUAGUGAUGGCAGGAUCUUAAACCCUUGUCUUAAUGUGAUCAAUACUGUCCUUAGUUUACAAAUAAGCAUGUCUGAAUUGUUCGCUUACAAACAAUGUCUACAAAUCAUAAUUAUUUUAACAUUAGCCACAAGCUUCUGACAGUCUCAGCUUUUGAACUGUACAUUCCUGAAGCAAAGUGAAUACAAAGCCAGAACUGCUAACUUUGCUUUCAGAAAUCACAUAUUUAAUUUAUUUCCCACUUAUGCAAAAAGUUGGUGGGGUUUUGGAUCUGCAGUUUAUGAGUAAGCUGUUUGUCACCUCUCUGGAGCUGAACAGCAUUUGGAACACCUUGGCUGGAGUGUUCUUUCAUCUGCUGUAGUGUGGGUGGGCCUUGAUCAGAGCAGCAGGUCUGGAUGGAUCACUGAGCUGCUGAAUAGCCUGCUGAGGAGCUAAAUGUCACAGCUCCUUCUGAACUGUGUGCUGGCCCUGCCAAUACUGGAGCAAAGGAAACCCCAAAGAGAUGAUCUGGUAAUUGCAGUUGAAAUUGGUGCUGUGGAUCUAUCAAUUUCUUUUUUGGUCACAUCUUCUAUUGACAUUUGUUUUCCACUUUUUUAAAAUCCAUCAACAAUUUUUCCUCAGUGAUCCAGGUCCAGACAAAUUGAUUAAUUUCAUAGAGCAGAGGUAUCCCAGCUGAAUUCUAGUUCUGCAUUAAUAAUAAUAAUAAUAAUAAUAAUAAUAAUAAUAAUAAUAAUAAUAAUAAUAGUGAUUUAUCUCCCGUGGGUCUGUUCUGCUGGUCUAAGUUGGAAAGAAGAUAAUUAUGAAGCAGGUGCCCAUCCCUGGGCUUCUGAUCGUUCUCCUGCAGAUCAGAUUUCAGUCUGAUGGUUCAGAGUCAAAAUUAUUCUUACUGUAAAGUGCAGUUUGGAUGGAGAUAAAUCAGAAGCAAUUGUGAUCCUUGUAAACUUAAAUUAAAAAUUCCUCUACUUCUCCUAGCAAAAUGCUUCUUUCUGACAUACCUCCCCAGCCAGGGACCCAGUGUUAACAAAUGAAACUUCUCUGGAGAUAGUUCUCAUUCCUUCUUAUCUUGUCAAAGUUGGCAAUAGAUUUCCUGAUAUUUUGUUUUUCUUCUCCGUCAUUCCUGCAAGACUCAGUCUUAACUCAAGAAUUUUGUUUGAUCCCUACAGAUCUUUAGGAAAUUAAUUUCAAAUACUUGAUGUUCCAAAUACUUUUUGACGCUUUAGGGUAUAUUGCUGGAGAUACUUUUGUUAGUUUAAAAAGCCAAGACCCAGCAGCUGCAAGAAUUUAUGCCCAUUAUGGAAAAUCCAGCAUGCUUUCUUUGCUAUGGCAAUACCAAAAGUCUGCUGGCACACCCGACUAAAGUACUUAUAACCAUAUAAAGGGAAUGCCUUUUAGGAAUUGGAUAAAAACACAGACAUAAUAUUUUCCAUCAAUUAGAUGUUGAGAAGUCCCAGACAUACAAUGCUGCAAGUGAAAUUAGAUGCCUUGGGAAACCUAUUCCAAAUGGAAAUUUAAUAUGUGGGAUCCUGACUCAGUCACCACUCCCUCAGUUUUCUACCCUCCCAAAAUAUAUUUGGAUAUGCUAGUAAUGUAAAUAUAGCAACAUUACACCCAGUAAAUACGCACAGAUUGGAUCAUGCGAGCUGCACUAAAUGCAGCUAUAGACAAACCACAAAGUUGCCUAUAAAGUAUUUUAACAACUUGCCAAUAAUGCACAUUUGCCGAGUUUCCUAUGUUACUGCAGAUGUGCAGUGCUACUAUUUGUGGAAUCCUUUCAGCAAACUGUGUAUUAUUUAUAAAUGGAAAAUGAGGGAGUUUAUGGUAGGCCUUCUGUCAUAGUUGUUUGGCACAUGGGAAUUAUAAAUAGGACAGGGUAAUCACUGAUGUGCUUUGCAUUUGGCACUGUGGUCAUUUCUGACCCAAAGAGAAGCUACAGGAGAUAAAUAUAUGAAGGUGCCUACCAGCUAUUUUUUGUGUGUUAAAGUAUAUUUUCUGCUUCACUCCCCGCUUAAGCUGCAAGCUGAAUGGAGUAUUUUGUUUUACAUAGUUCUUUAACUGCUCCCACAGCAUGGUUCUUCUCAAAACAGUUUGCCCCUAAGUGUUUGGGGCAGUUCUCUAUUAGAGGAGUGAAAUCAGCCCAUCAUUAUCAGUGCCACUUGCCAAAGGUGUUUGAGAGCCAUCCUGCAGGAUGUGCAGGUGAAGAACUGAACACCCAGAGUUGUUGGGCUGGGCUGAUGCAUUUUGGAUGAAAUCUGAAAUAAAUGCUCCUGAGUGCACAAUGAAGUCUUCUGCAAAUCACGUGCAAGAGGAAAUGUUUUCUGAACUCUGUGGAAAGCCUGCAGGCCUGGUCUGCAGAAACACCAGGAACAACACAGCACCCUUUGCUUCCUCCUGGCCUACUGAAGGUGGGAAAGAAUUGCUGAUGUUACUGGUGGAGCCAUUAUUCUCUUCGGCAACUCCAAGUGCAACAUUUUUGUUUUCUUCUCACAUCUACUUCAUUCAAUUUGCAAGUAGUUUUGGAUAUUUUUUAAAACUUUUUAAACACAAUCUGUGAUCUAGUUGUAUCCAGUUCUGCCUCUUCUUUGACUUUUUUCAAUGAUAGCUGCUUUCCUCAUUUGAAUUUUGUUGGCAGCUGUAUUGAUUGAUGUUCCUGGUAGAAUAGGAUCCAGCUGUCUUCACUUAAGAGCAUUGCAAUGCAGGACAAACACUUUAGGCUGUGUCAUCCAUGUAAACAGUCUGUGCUUCUAAAGCUACAUAAAUCCAUCCAGAAAAUGACAAUCCAUGCUUGGCUUUUGCUGUGCUACAAUGUGGACAGAACAUGGCUCUGGGUUUUUUGCCUAAAUCAUUGCAAUCAGCUAGCAAGGUGAUAUGCCAGGCAGCGCUUUAAUGAAGUAUCAUCAAGGAGCCAAAUAAACAUCAAGGUUGCCAAAUAAACAGCUUUUGAGGCGUAUGCAUAUCGUUAUUGUGGGAAAUGUUUCUACUAGUGUAUUAGAUAAUAGGUGCAAUUUGAAAAAAGAACACGCAGUCCUGUUCCUCUCCACCCCUUGUGCACCCUUUGGGUGUGGGCAUAAAAUAUUGAAAUGUGUAGCUCAGCAAAUUUUUGGUUCAUCUGGCUAAAAAGAAGUUGCAAAGCAGCAUAGAUUUUCUUUUGCUUUCCAUCUAGAUCUGAUGUAGCAACCCAGUAGAUUCUUUUUCUUAAGUGGGCUUUUUUUUCCCUCUUCCUUCUUCAUAUUUUGACACUGCACUUAUGGGUAGUGCACCUUUGUGACCUUGUAACUGCUAAGCCUUUUGCAUGAAGCUGUUUUUGCAGAUGCAGAGAACAAAGGAAAUUACCACCUUCCAGGUGUGCACAUGAAAGCGCAGGUCAGGUAUAUAAACAGUGUUGUUAGCUGAGGAAUAGAGUGCUUACUCAGUGGGAGCCCAUUUAUCCAUGUUCUGAUGGGGUUUAUUAAUUAUUAGUACAUGGCAGUUUAAUCUGUAAGUUUGGGGCUCCCAGAGGUGAAAGGCUCUUGCUUUGUGGUCAUUUCCUGAGCCUGCACCAGGUCUGUACCACUUCACAGCAGAGUUUCUACUUCGUGCCUCCACUGGCUCAUCAGCUAUUCCUGGUGGAGCUGAUUUCUUUUCAUUUCUGUAAAGGUGUUGCCAGCACUUUUCUAUAGGGAGGUCAGCUAGGAGAAUGACCAGGAGAGCUUAAAAUUCCCUAUGAUGAGUGAAAAAAGCACUCUAAAUGGCUCAGUCUUUUAAAAAAUCCUCUAUAAUGAAAUAUUCUCAAGCCAGAGAAAUGCAUAUACAGGAGGAGUGCAACAGCUUGCUCUUUAUCACUAAAAACUGCAAGCUUCAACAUUGCUUUUGUUAAACAUGGAUUUUUUAUCUUCCUAUCCAAUCACCCCCUACCACCAGGCUUUAAAAUUCUUUUUUCUCUGGUCAGAAAGCUGGUUCAGAUGCCAUACCUGUGGUUUCCCUCAUAUUCUGGAUCUUUUCAUAGAACUUGGUUUCCAUAGUAAAUGCUUUUCAAAAAUCAUAUGGUUCAAUAAAAGUACUCUGCAGUUCUUUAUUUUAUAAAGGAGUGCUCUCAUUAACUCACUGUUGAAUAACUCUUAUAACCUCAGAUCUGUUUGAAUUCUACUCCAAAUGUUCCAUUACAGGCCAUCUGACACCUCAUGAAACACAUUAUAAGCUCCAUUGCUAAGUUUCUGAUCUUAAGUCUUAGUCCUCAAACUAUUUUAUCAUACUGACAUUUGAACAAAAUAUGCUGAGACAGCAAAUGAGGAUCCAUAUUUAGCCAUGAAGAAACCAGGAGAAAGGAUUGGUUGGUAUUUACUGUUCAAAAAAUCAAUACUUUCCAAACUUCCUAGAGUGAUGCUAUGAGAAGCCUUUGUAUUCUUUGUGUUACCGCUUUUAAUUUUGUUUUGUCAAGACAGCACCUCGUUUAUUUUGGGAAUUAGAGAGGGGAGGAUGGUGCACCACAGUUGUUCAGGGGGCCCUGCUGAACCUGAACACAAGCCAUGCCACUGACAGCACGGGGUUGGUUUCACAGAUGUGGGGGAGAACUCCCCUAAGCCAGCAGCUCCAGUUUAGAAACAGCAACUCAGCCAGAGACCUGAUGAAAUCAGGGAGUUGGUGGCAGUCCUGCCCCUCAUUUCUGCAUGUGCCUUUUGAGCAUCACUUCCCUGCAAGCCCCAGCUGCAAAUGCAGCUCUCAGAGGGAUGCAGCUGAGGUGCACGUGCAGGAGUGCUGUGCACACAGAGUGGAAUCACAUCCUGCAGCGCUGGCUGGUGCCAGUGGGGAAAGCACAGCACAGUGCUCCCACCAAUCCCCUUUGGCAAAGCUCAGGGUUGCCAUAAAGCAAUAACAGUAUUCAUGCUAAUAUUGAUUUGUCCUAGUGAUAAGGGAAAAAUAAUUACCCAGAAGUAAACUAAUCAUAUCCUUUAAAAAGGCAAGGUACUGCUUUCAGAUGUGACCUAGUUGUGUUUGGCUUGGGUUUUUAUAAGAGCACUGUGAGCACCAAGACACUGUAGUGUUGCUGUUGCCUGAUCCUUGCUCUUGUGAGCCCUCUGUACUCCAGCAGUUCUUCAAAAACUGCUUUUGCCAGUCCUUGCCUAUUGAUUACUUUAUUUUCAUCAGUUGGGAGAAUAAUUAGGCCUAUUUCUAGUGAGAUUUUUCACCUGGUUUAGCAGAGCGAGAAGCAUACAGGCAUUCUGCUACUCAUGCUACUGGUGUCUUUUAAGUUUGUUUUUAUGUCUUGUUGCAUUUUGGAUCACAUCAGUAAUCUGUCACAUCUCCAGCAAGAAGUAUACGAAAUGUGGCAGAACAUUAUUUCACAAUUUUGGGUGAUCGUAUCCUACUCAGUAUUAUGGCACAUAAAAAAAAUCACCAAGAAAUUACCAUAGUAUUGGUAGGAUUAACUAAUGUCAAGCUGGUGCUUCCUUAAGUUGUCCUUCUAUUUUCAUGAGAAAACAAAUGUGCAAAGCACCUAAAUGGCUGGCUGGGAAAUAACUUGAAUCAGCAGUGCAAGUAGAGAAAACAAGUAUCUGAGCCUUUAAAGAAGGAGAAAUGUCUGUGACAAUAUGUAAUUAUAUGGUUGUGUGAUCAUCAGAGAUCACAAAGCAUUGGUGAUGCACCUCUAAAGUCAUAGGUUUUGGUACAGCAGGAGGAAACACAUUCUGAUUUUCUGCUGACAAAGACAGCAUCUUUUUCACUUAAGAAAAGGGCAGGCCUGUCUAUCAUCACCAUGCUGGCUGCAGUCCCCAUGUGAACCCCAACUGCCUCCUCUUUCAUACAGACCACUUAUCCUGCAUGGAUUUUUGGGUGCAAGUAUGAGAAUUAGUUCUUGUGUCAGGGAAACUGGGUUGUCUUCUUUUUGUUUGUUUGUUUGUGGCUUUUUUUGUUGUUUUUUUAAUCUUAAGUAGGCUUUAUAAAUUUUUCCUUUCAAUUUCAUCAUAUAAAAAUUCAGUGUAUUUUUUCCUUCUUAGUACUGUUAAAUGUUUUGCAGGCUUAAUUUAAACAUAAUGACUGCCUGAAUACAUUUGUUUUCUUAUUUGGUUGACAAAACCAAUGAAGCAUUUACAUUGCAAGGCCUUGGCACGUUUUCAGUUUGGGAUCACUAGACAGCUAAAGAGGAAGGGCUAAAGUCUGUGAAGGUGAAAAUAAUGCACUUAUUUUCCCCUUAUGAAACUGCACAUAUUGCUCCUUGCAGAGUACCAGCCCUGCAUGCAAAAGUCUAGCAUGGAAUAAAUGCUUUUGUGUAGCUUUGAAUGCUGUAUGGCAUGACCAACAUUUAUACAGAUGAAGCAAGAAAGACAAGAUUGGGAAGAAAUAAGUAAAGUGCCCAGAGCUUUGGAAUGGUGUGUUUUCCCUGUCCUGGGUCAAUGCACAUCUGGAAGCCUCCUGUGGGUCCAUGGGCCCCCUCGGGCUGGUGGCAGCUGAUCCUGCCUUCUGAGCAAAGGGGCAUUAAGAAGAGGAGGCAUUGAGACCCCAGGAGUGGUUACUCCUCCCUUCCAUUAACAUCCUCCUCAGAGAUCCUUAGGGGUCUCUAGAGAAUAGGGCAUUGUGCAAUUUCUCUCCUUUUCAGAGGGGGCUCCAAGCCCUUGGCUGUGUAAAUGGGCAAAGAUACCGAGGAUCCA